AGCGACUUCAGUGCUUACCUACAUGACCGGAAGAACAGCCAGAGAGGGAAAGAAGCAAGUGAGGUGGGAACUAUGGUGAAGCGGAAAGAAGCAAAUGAGGUGGGAACUACGGUGAAGCAGAAAGAAGCAAGUGACCUGGGAACUACGGUGAAGCGCACCAAGUACUGACUAAAUGGUCCAGCAAGCGUGGUAGGUGCUGACGUGAAGGCUGAAGCAAGCGUUGUAGGAGCUGACAUGAAGGCGACACUGAAUGAACGAGAUCAAGAUAGCUUAGAUUCUAUCUCGCUUGGUUGUUCUUACCUUUUGUGCUAUUUAGCUAGAUGACUAUCUAACCUUCAGAGGUUAGCAAUUAAACUGAGCAUCUAGGCUUCAUCUUCAACUAUCUUGCCAGGA